rnacentral:rRNA from 1 species
CCUCCGGGAGGCAGCAGUGAGGAAUAUUGGUCAAUGGGCGAGAGCCUGCACCAGCCAAGUCGCGUGAAGGAUGAAGGAUCUAUGGUUUGUAAACUUCUUUUAUAUGGGAAUAAAGUGAGGAACGUGUUCCUUUUUGUAUGUACCAUAUGAAUAAGCAUCGGCGAACUCCGUGCCAGCAGCCGCGGUAAUACGGAGGAUGCGAGCGUUAUCCGGAUUGAUUGGGUUUAAAGGGUGCGGAGGUGGUGCAGUAAGUCAGCGGUGAAAGUUUGUGGCUCAACCAUAAAAUUGCCGUUGAAACUGGUUGACUUGAGUAUAGUUGAGGUAGGCGGAAUGCGUGGGGUAGCGGUGAAAUGCGUAGAUAUCACGCAGAACUCCGAUUGCGAAGGCAGCUUACUAAACUAUAACUGACACUGAAGCACGAAGGCGUGGGGAGCAAACAGGAUUAGAUACCCUUGUAGUC